rnacentral:rRNA from 1 species
GACGAACGCUGGCGGCGUGCCUAAUACAUGCAAGUCGAACGCUGAAGAGAGGAGCUUACUCUUCUUGGAUGAGUUGCGAACGGGUGAGUAACGCGUAGGUAACCUGCCUUGUAGCGGGGGAUAACUAUUGGAAACGAUAGCUAAUACCGCAUAACAAUGGAUGACACAUGUCAUUUAUUUGAAAGGGGCAAUUGCUCCACUACAAGAUGGACCUGCGUUGUAUUAGCUAGUAGGUGAGGUAAUGGCUCACCUAGGCGACGAUACAUAGCCGACCUGAGAGGGUGAGCGGCCAAACUGGGACUGAGACACGGCCCAGACUCCUACGGGAGGCAGCAGGAGGGAAUCUUCGGCAAUGGGGGCAACCCUGACCGAGCAACGCCGCGUGAGUGAAGAAGGUUUUCGGAUCGUAAAGCUCGGUUGUAAGUCAAGAACGGGUGUGAGAGUGGAAAGUUCACACUGUGACGGUAGCUUACCAGAAAGGGACGGCUAACUACGUG